UUUUUCUCUCUCUCUUCCUUCCUUCCUUCCUUCCUUCUUUCCUUUCUUCUUUUCUUUUCUUCUCUCCCUCCCUUCCCCUCUCUCUUCCCUUCCCUUCCUUCUCUCUCCCCUUCCCUUCCCUCUCUCUCCCCUUCCCUCUCCCUCUCCCUCUCCCUUCCCUUCCCUUUCUUUCUUGACAGGGUCUCACUCCAUCACCCAGGCUGGAAUGCAGUGGCUCAAUCAACACACCACAGCCUCGGCCUCCCUGGGCUCAGAAGUCUAGGAAUCCUCUUGGCACUUGACCUUGGGCCUCUGAGAUCCCAGCUAUGACCAGUUCCAGAAACGCAAUCCUGGCCGGGCACGGUGGCUCACGCCUGUAAUCCCAGCA
rnacentral:lncRNA from 1 species